AUAUAGCUCAGGUGAGAACCAUAUCCAGUUAUUUCCUUUUUCCUUCUCCAUGUAUGCAUUAAAUUAGAUAUUCUCUGUUUUGAAAAUGGUUUUCCUUUUCAGCUUUCAAAAGAGUCAUGUUUGCUCAAGGAGGUUCUUGGGAGAAUUUUAAUGAUGGUCAAAUUAAUGGAGAGAGGGAGUUUUUGGUUAAUAGAUGCAUUUUAACAAAGGGGAUGAUUAAUUAUUUGCUCCUUUAUGAGUGGGUGAAAACUCUAUGGUAUUUUGUUAAUGUCUCUUUGGAUUAACCAAGUCCAUACUCCGUUCAGAGAAUUUGGAAAUGGGGGUUAUAAUACUUAAAGACUGGAGGUCUUAUUCCAUUGUUCAUUGUGAGGAGGUUUUGGAUGCCAUAACAUAGAGA
rnacentral:misc_RNA from 1 species